AAAUUAUUUUGUCAAGGUCUAAACUCUACUCUUCAAUUGUUACCUCGAUAGGUGGAAGCUAUCAAAAGGAUUGCUGAGUAUGUUGCUCAACUAAAAAAGAGUUGGGAAAGGAUAUGAUGUGGCACUUAUUAGAAGCUUCUCCAUGAGAAAGGAGCUGUAUGAACAUGAUGGAGUUUGUAAUUUGUAGUUUAUAUUUUGGAGAUUUAUAAUUUCUUGUU